UGGGGAAUAUUGCACAAUGGGCGAAAGCCUGAUGCAGCGACGCCGCGUGAGGGAUGACGGCCUUCGGGUUGUAAACCUCUUUCAGCAGGGAAGAAGCGAAAGUGACGGUACCUGCAGAAGAAGCGCCGGCUAACUACGUGCCAGCAGCCGCGGUAAUACGUAGGGCGCAAGCGUUGUCCGGAAUUAUUGGGCGUAAAGAGCUCGUAGGCGGCUUGUCACGUCGGGUGUGAAAGCCCGGGGCUUAACCCCGGGUCUGCAUUCGAUACGGGCUAGCUAGAGUGUGGUAGGGGAGAUCGGAAUUCCUGGUGUAGCGGUGAAAUGCGCAGAUAUCAGGAGGAACACCGGUGGCGAAGGCGGAUCUCUGGGCCAUUACUGACGCUGAGGAGCGAAAGCGUGGGGAGCGAACA
rnacentral:rRNA from 2 species